CCCAUGCUGCUCCGUGCCCCUGAGGUUGUGCAUGGACAGAGUCAGGCAGCUCCCCUACUCUACCCUCCUUUUGGGGUAUGUUACAGCUUAUGGUUUUGAUCUGGAAUGUCCCCGCACGGGCUCAUGUGCUGAAUGCUUGGCCCCCGCAGCAACGUUCAGAGAUGAGGAUUGGUAUGUGACUGGAUUAUGAGGACUCUGACCUCAACAAUGGAUUAAUCCAUUGAGGGCUUCAGAAUGUUAAUGGAUAUUGGGAGGCAGUAGAAACUGGAGGAGUUGCCAUGAGAUGAGCCGCUUUGCUCUACACCACGCCCGUCUGCCAUGAUGUUCUGCCUCACCUCAAGUCCGAAGCACUUAAGCUGGCUGACCAUGGACCGAAACCUCGGAAACCAUGAACCAAAAUAAAUAUCUCCUUCUUUAAGUUGCUUUUCUCAGGACACCCUCAAGACGUUUGCCCUGUUUCCUCCAUUCUUGUGGUUUCCCGACUCGCUCCGGUGCUUCCCGCGUGGCCCUGUGUGGCAUGGCCGCCUCCUGCUUCUAGGGAUCUGCGAGUGUCAACUUGGUCCUUGAUGACAGAUAUUUUCCUUGUCUACAUGUCUUUCCAGACCUGAUUAAA